AACGAACGCUGGCGGCAUGCCUAACACAUGCAAGUCGAACGAGACCUUCGGGUCUAGUGGCGCACGGGUGCGUAACGCGUGGGAAUCUGCCCUUGGGUUCGGAAUAACAGUUGGAAACGACUGCUAAUACCGGCUGAUGACGUAAGUCCAAAGAUUUAUCGCCCAGGGAUGAGCCCGCGUAGGAUUAGCUAGUUGGUGGGGUAAAGGCCUACCAAGGCGACGAUCCUUAGCUGGUCUGAGAGGAUGAUCAGCCACACUGGGACUGAGACACGGCCCAGACUCCUACGGGAGGCAGCAGUGGGGAAUAUUGGACAAUGGGCGAAAGCCUGAUCCAGCAAUGCCGCGUGAGUGAUGAAGGCCUUAGGGUUGUAAAGCUCUUUUACCCGGGAUGAUAAUGACAGUACCGGGAGAAUAAGCCCCGGCUAACUCCGUG
rnacentral:rRNA from 1 species